UACGUAGGGGGCAAGCGUUGUCCGGAAUCAUUGGGCGUAAAGAGCGUGUAGGCGGCUCGGUAAGUCCGCUGUGAAAGUCCAGGGCUCAACCCUGGAAUGCCGGUGGAAACUGUCGAGCUAGAGUCCGGAAGAGGCGAGUGGAAUUCCUGGUGUAGCGGUGAAAUGCGCAGAUAUCAGGAGGAACACCAAUGGCGAAGGCAGCUCGCUGGGACGGUACUGACGCCGAGACGCGAAAGCGUGGGGAGCAAACAGG
rnacentral:rRNA from 1 species